rnacentral:miRNA from 1 species
GUGUGUGUGUGUGUGUGUGUGGGUGUGUGUGUGCGCGCGCACGCAUGCAUACACCCAGA